rnacentral:rRNA from 1 species
GAUGAACGCUGGCGGCGUGCCUAAUACAUGCAAGUCGAGCGAACGGACGAGAAGCUUGCUUUUCUGAUGUUAGCGGCGGACGGGUGAGUAACACGUGGAUAACCUACCCAUAAGACUGGGAUAACUUCGGGAAACCGGAGCUAAUACCGGAUAAUAUUUUGAACCGCAUGGUUCAAAAGUGAAAGACGGUCUUGCUGUCACUUAUAGAUGGAUCCGCGCUGCAUUAGCUAGUUGGUAAGGUAACGGCUUACCAAGGCAACGAUGCAUAGCCGACCGGAGAGGGUGAUCGGCCACACGGGAACUGAGACACGGUCCAGACUCCUACGGGAGGCAGCAGUAGGGUAUCUUCCGCAAUGGGCGAAAGCCUGACGGAGCAACGCCGCGUGAGUGAUGAAGGUCUUCGGAUCGUAAAACUCUGUUAUUAGGGAAGAACAUAUGUGUAAGUAACUGUGCACAUCUUGACGGUACCUAAUCAGAAAGCCACGGCUAACUACGUG